AAUUGAUAAUCACUGUAAAUUUUUUUAGGUCAAAAAUAAGUUUGUGUGGGCCCAUUGUAAAUCACUGCGCCAGAGGCCCAAUCACGAGCCAGACCAACACUUUUUUUGAAUGCCGAAAACGGCAACAAUCCUGUGUAAAGGCUUCGCCGAAAAAUCGUGUUCUCCUUGUAACAAUGUUUUUUUUCUGUGUCGGAAUAUAAAAUAAUUGUUAGACAGUUACUAAAUUAAAACGUUUAACCGAAAUUUCGGGCCACAGAUAAAAAGUGAAACCUGCUUAUAGCUGACCUCCCCUAUAGGCUAUAAGGCGGAAAUCUUAAAACAGUUCUGCAUAACCUAUAACCCGUAUGUAUUAGUCUCCCUAUAACGGAAAAAUUAGUUGG